UAAAAAAAUAAUUAAUAUAAUAAGUCAGUUACCAAGGAUGAAUUCUAUAGAAGGAUUAAAACCUCUGGUACAAAAUCUUAGCAAAUAUUUGAAAAAAAAAUAACCUCUCAGUUCUGGAGCAAACUUUACACAUAAUACUUUGUCUGCUAUAACGAUGCAACUAGCUCUUAUCCUGCUGCUAUGUCAGCUUCUAUUAUGACUCCAGUAGAUGGAGUAACCCUCAGUACAUAAUUUUUGGAACAUGCUGAAGACAAAUAUUUUGAACAUGAACACAUAUUCUGAUGCUUUGAACUUUUAUAGUGAGCUGUAUUUUUUUUAUUUUUUUAUUUUUUUACAGAAAUGAGAUCAUUUUAUUACAAUUAAUUACUCACAUAUGAAGAAAGAAGUCACAAUGUGAUUAUUCAGUUAACCAGGAUUUUUUUAGAUUUCGCAAUUAAAAAAAAAAUCAAAAUAUUAAAGUAACUGAAUUUAAGUUUUAUAAAGGAACAAUAAGACAGAGACUAUGAAUUCAUCAAAGUAUUCAUUACUGGAGAACUUCUUCCAAACUGUAAAUGACAUCUAUAAAAAAGCCUUCUUGUUAAUUAAGAUAUGUGGAUAUGUGCCCAAACCUGAACAAUAAAUAACUUCAUAGGAAAGAACUGCCCAGAAACAAGUCUCAAGAACCAGCAGAUCAAAACCUUUCAGCAAGUGAUGAAAGAAAGACAGUAUUUUUAUGUUUCAGUUCAAAUACCAAUAACGUCACGUCAUUUAAUUAUUACUAUGAGAAUAAACUAUUAGUAAAGGCAACAAAUUUAACACCUGUAUAGUAUAUUCUGUUACUGAUUUCUGUCUUUUUUCUUAGGAAAACAAAGCAAGAUCACUUCCUAGAGCUGAACAGACACUAUACUUGAUGAUUAUAAACUGACUAUUCUACACAUUCUGAAACAACUCCGAAAAACAAAACAACGGAUAAUAUCUCACCCUGAGAUGAUACAGCACCACUCCUGUACUGAGGAUAUCAUCAUCCAUUGCCAUUAGAUGAGGGGUGUAAUGCAGUGCAGAACUGUAAAAAUUAACAGAAAUCAAACUCACUGGCAAUCAUAAUGGUCUUGGAGUUGCCGCCCAGG